rnacentral:rRNA from 1 species
GCUCUGGAAACGUCGAAGCUAGUCUGGGACUGGCUGUCCAAGGUCAACGAAGGCGUCUCAACCCAGAGAGAUCAAAGAAUCAGUGUUCUUCGCAACCUCUUCAACCGCUUCAAGAGAAACGACAAUGAAAAUGUCCAGCUCACGUUUGAUUGCCUCACUGACAUCACAAAUGAACUUCAAGCUCUUGGCGCAACUGAGAUUACCAAGCAUGAAAUCGUCAAGACAUUGCUGAGAUCACUUGACAGCUCCUUUGACACCCAUGCCCUCAUGAUACAAGAACGUCCUGACUUCAAGUCACUCGAUCCGUCUGAUAUACUUGAGAGGCUCAACACACAUGAGUUCCAGCUAUCUGAGAAAAGAGAUAUCUAUGGCCCAAACUAUGGC